rnacentral:tRNA from 1 species
CCUUUGAUAGCUCAGUUGGUAGAGCGGAGGACUGUAGAUCCUUAGGUCGCUGGUUCGAAUACGCCUCGAAGGA